CAGUCGCCACGGUAAUACGAAGGGGGCUAGCGUUGCUCGGAAUCACUGGGCGUAAAGGGUGCGUAGGCGGGUCUUUAAGUUAGGGGUGAAAUCCUGGAGCUCAACUCCAGAACUGCCUUUGAUACUGAAGAUCUUGAGUUCGGGAGAGGUGAGUGGAACUGCGAGUGUAGAGGUGAAAUUCGUAGAUAUUCGCAAGAACACCAGUGGCGAAGGCGGCUCACUGGCCCGAUACUGACGCUGAGGCACGAAAGCGUGGGGAGCAAACAGGAUUAGAUACCCCUGUAGUCCCUGUCUCUUAUAC
rnacentral:rRNA from 1 species